CAAUACUCAAGUAAAUUGAACUGUGUGACUUAUUCCAAGCAGGAAGUGGCCUUGAUAAGCUUUCCUAGUUUUCUGUUUACAGCUUCAAAAGCAAUUUGCCAACCUCGGAGCCACCUUGUUAGAUGACCUAGGAGAAGAUGUGCUGGCAAGGGUCCCUGGUCCAUCAGCAGGAGGCUGGAGCAACUGGGCUCUACUUGCAAGUUGUGUCCUGCAGCACUACAUGGUCUGGAGCCCACACUGUGCAGCUGUAGAUUGCAGGGGUGGCAGCUACAACACCCACAGUCUGUUCCACCCAGCCCAGCCGUGACAGAAGGGGAUGUUUCCAGAUGCAGAAGAC
rnacentral:lncRNA from 1 species